rnacentral:tRNA from 1 species
UGCGGGAGUGGCGAAAUUGGUAGACGCACCAGAUUUAGGUUCUGGCGCCGCAAGGUGCAUUCCCAGGUUCGAAUCCUGGUACCCCAGCCA